UCAUGAUGAUGAUGAUGAUGAUGAUGAUGAUGAUGAUGAUGAGGAUGAUGAUCAUCAUAUUCAUCAACAUUGCCAUCGGUCACUUUAG
rnacentral:pre_miRNA from 1 species